GCCCACAUGGCGUAGUGGUUUAACGCCUGGAUGUGUGUUGGUCCGUGCCUACGGGCCGCAACACAAGUGGGUUCGAAUCCCACUGUGGUCA